rnacentral:misc_RNA from 1 species
GAUGAAGAACGUAGCGAAAUGCGAUACUUGGUGUGAAUUGCAGAAUCCCGUGAACCAUCGAGUCUUUGAACGCAAGUUGCGCCCGAAGCCAUUAGGCCGAGGGCACGCCUGCCUGGGCGUCACACGUCGUUGCCCCCCCAUCUACUCCUUCGGGAUUGCGGGGGGCGGAUGAUGGCCUCCCGUGCGCCUCGCCGCGCGGUUGGCAUAAAUGCCAAGUCCUCGGCGACGCACGCCACGACAAUCGGUGGUUGCGAAACCUCGGUUGCCCGUCGUGUGCGGGCGUCGCGCAUCGAGGGCUCGAAAAAAUUGCCGGGUUCCGGCUCGGCUUUCAACGCGACCCCAGGUCAGGCGGGGUUACCCGCUGAAUUUAAGCAUAUCAAUAAGCGGAGGA